rnacentral:lncRNA from 1 species
UUAAAAUGGAAAUUACUGUGUUCUAGAUUUGACUCACAAUCCAGAGGAUGGGACAAGAGUAUAUUUUUUGGGUACGAAAGGAGGUGAAGCGGCCACGUCGCAAUUUCUGUUGGUUAAAAAACCUCGUACCCUCCUGCCGACAAUUUCACUGACACAAGCACCACAUGAUUAAUAACAAUAGCAAUAGGUUAGGUAUCAUAAUCAUAAUUAACAUCAUAAUUAAAUAAUAUUGCUAUUUACCAUCUAUAUUUUUAACGGAUUAAUAUCCCUCAAAAAAAAAAAAAAAAAGUUCAGAUAAUUAUCAAUAACAAAUUACUGUACCUUGCCUUUUUCCCUUUUGUUCUCCUAGAUAAUCGAUCUCCGCCCAAUGCGUCGAAGCAAGCUGGAAGAGGACAUCCAGUAUCACCAAUCAUCGUUGCAUAAAAAAAAAAGUUCAGAUUCAUUUUCUUCUUUAGGUGAUGCCGAAUUUUAAACUGUCUGCUAUAACCUUUCAGGGUUUUGCUUCUUUUCCUCUCUUCUUUUUAAAUCGGUGAUUUAUAAGUUUUGACGGCCGGCGGGAAGGCGUAAGGGCGGCUAAUUCUUCCUCUUUCUCUUUGGUUGGCGGAAAAUGUUACUAUGGAGAUCACGAAUGUUCUAGAAGUGGAGCGACCACGGGAAGAGAAGAAUAAGCCCCGAGAAGCCAAGACGAUGGAAAAAUUUGGGAGUCAAUGGAGUUUGAUUCGGUGAAUGAGGUGCGGUGGUGUCUACUGUGGCGGCGGAGAAGAUGGAAGGAAACGAAUCCGAAUUUGUUAAUAAAAAAUUAGUAAGGAUAUAUUUGUCCUUUCAUGUCUAAAUAUGGACUGCAAAAAUAAAAUAUGAACGGUAAAUACCAUACCUAUCUAUCGUUCGAAAGGUUUUAGUGGUUCAAUAUGUUCAUUAAUGAAAUUUUUAUUCAGAUUAUAUUAUACAAAUUUUCACUGAAAGGUUUGAGGUUCAUCUAAGUAAUACAUGUCUUUAACCAAUAGAUCGAAAAAGCUUUCUAGACCAGUGAGCCG